CGAACGGGUGAGUAACACGUGGGUAACCUGCCCCGAUGACCGGGACAACCCGAGGAAACUCGGGCUAAUACCGGAUGUGUACCCAGGCCAUCAGGUUUGGGUGGAAAGGAAGCUUCGGCCUCCGCAUUGGGAUGGGCCCGCGGCCCAUUAGCUUGUUGGUGAGGUAACGGCUCACCAAGGCUGCGAUGGGUAGCUGGUCUGAGAGGACGAUCAGCCACACUGGGACUGAGACACGGCCCAG
rnacentral:rRNA from 1 species